GCCGAAAUAGCUCAAUUGGGAGAGCAUUAGACUGAAGAUCUAAAGGUCCCGGGUUUCGGCA
rfam:Salmo salar isolate Sally breed double haploid chromosome ssa27, whole genome shotgun sequence.